UUUUCCGCAAUGGGCGAAAGCCUGACGGAGCAAUGCCACGUGGAGGUGGAAGGCCUACGGGUCCUCAACUUCUUUUCUGGGAGAAGAAACAAUGACGGUAUCUGAGGAAUAAGCAUCGGCUAACCCUCUGCUAGCAGCCGCGGUAAGACAGAGGAUGCAAGCGUUAUCCAGAAUGAUUGGGCGUAAAGCGUCUGUAGGUGGCUUUUCAAGUCCGCCGUCAAAUCCCAGGGCUCAACCCUGGACAGGCGGUGGAAACUACCAAGCUGGAGUACGGUAGGGGCAGAGGGAAUUUCCGGUGGAGCGGUGAAAUGCAUUGAGAUCGGAAAGAACACCAAUGGCGAAAGCACUCUACUGGGCCGACACAGACACUGAGAGACAAAAGCUAGGGGAGCAAAUGG
rnacentral:rRNA from 1 species